AUUGGUUUCCAUGGGAACCUUAUACACAUGACAGUUGUCAAAUGAUUUUCUUCUUUCUAGGUGACAUUUCAGUAAUUCUAACAGUAUUAAUAUUCAGUUCCCUACAGAGAGCUACAAAGGUAAAUGUUAGAGACUAUUCUUUUAUAUCAUUGACUCAGAGUUUGCUGAGGAACAAGUCCAGGCAAGUCCUGGGCAAAGGCAGAGAAAUCUUUUGUCUUGAGGACACUGAUGGACAGGUCCUGGCUAAGGAUUGUGAUAUCAUCUAAGGAGCACAGAUGGACAAGGUCAGGGGCAACGAGAGAGAGAGAUAAGCUGCUGCUAAUGGCUGGGAAACGGUCUUUUUGUGUGGACUUACCUCGAGGAAGAUGGCCAUCUCAGGAGGUAUGCACGUGACUCUUGCUCAAGCACCCAGGAAUGCCACGUAGGCAGGAGAAAAUGGAGGAUAAAAGAGGGUCCAACAACCACCGCAAGGUAGAGGCUUAUCUCUCACCACGACAGACUUGAGGGGUUCUCUGCCAUCUGAUCUCUCACCGCAAGGUAGAGGCUGAUCUCUCACCACGACACGAGCUUUCUGCCUUCAGAUCCUUCUCUACGGACCGUUUGCUGACGGACUUCCCUGGGCCUGCUACCUGAGACCUGCUGCUUCCUCCCUGACCUGCACCC
ensembl:lncRNA